GGCUAAACCAUGCACCGAAGCUGCGGCAGCGACACUGUGUGUUGUUGGGUAGGGGAGCGUUCUGUAAGCCUGUGAAGGUGUGUCGUGAGGCAUGCUGGAGGUAUCAGAAGUGCGAAUGCUGACAUAAGUAACGAUAAAGCGGGUGAAAAGCCCGCUCGCCGGAAGACCAAGGGUUCCUGUCCAACGUUAAUCGGGGCAGGGUGAGUCGACCCCUAAGGCGAGGCCGAAAGGCGUAGUCGAUGGGAAACGGGUUAAUAUUCCCGUACUUGGUGUUACUGCGAAGGGGGGACGGAGAAGGCUAUGUUGGCCGGGCGACGGUUGUCCCGGUUUAAGCGUGUAGGUGUGUGUUCCAGGUAAAUCCGGUUCACUUUAACACUGAGGCGUGACGACGAGGCACUACGGUGCUGAAGCAACAAAUGCCCUGCUUCCAGGAAAAGCCUCUAAGCAUCAGGUAACAUCAAAUCGUACCCCAAACCGACACAGGUGGUCAGGUAGAGAAUACCAAGGCGCUUGAGAGAACUCGGGUGAAGGAACUAGGCAAAAUGGUGCCGUAACUUCGGGAGAAGGCACGCUGACACGUAGGUGAAGUGAUUUACUCAUGGAGCUGAAGUCAGUCGAAGAUACCAGCUGGCUGCAACUGUUUAUUAAAAACACAGCACUGUGCAAACACGAAAGUGGACGUAUACGGUGUGACGCCUGCCCGGUG
rnacentral:rRNA from 1 species